rnacentral:rRNA from 1 species
UACGAAGGGGGCUAGCGUUGUUCGGAAUUACUGGGCGUAAAGCGCACGUAGGCGGAUAUUUAAGUCAGGGGUGAAAUCCCAGAGCUCAACUCUGGAACUGCCUUUGAUACUGGGUAUCUCGAGUAUGGAAGAGGUGAGUGGAAUUCCGAGUGUAGAGGUGAAAUUCGUAGAUAUUGGGAAGAACACCGGUGGCGAAGGCGGCGACCUGGUCCGAUACUGACGCUGAGGCGCGAAGGCGUGGGGAGCAAACAGG